UACAGAGGUCUCAAGCGUUGUUCGGAUUCAUUGGGCGUAAAGGGUGCGUAGGCGGCGCGGUAAGUCGGGUGUGAAAUCUUGGAGCUUAACUCCGAAACUGCAUUCGAUACUGCCGUGCUUGAGGACUGGAGAGGAGACUGGAAUUUACGGUGUAGCGGUGAGAUGCGUAGAUAUCGUAAGGAAGACCAGUGGCGAAGGCGGGUCUC
rnacentral:rRNA from 1 species